AUCGGCGGCCAGAGCGACGAGGUUCCACCCGUACCCAUCCCGAACACGGCAGUUAAGCUCGUCAGCGUUCCACGCAGUACUGGAGUGGGAGACCCUCUGGGAGUUGUGGUUCGCCGCCACCC
rfam:Halonotius sp. J07HN4 genomic scaffold scf7180000001348, whole genome shotgun sequence.